UACAGAGGUCUCAAGCGUUGUUCGGAUUCAUUGGGCGUAAAGGGUGCGUAGGUGGCGUGGUAAGUCGGGUGUGAAAUUUCGGAGCUUAACUCCGAAACUGCAUUCGAUACUGCUGUGCUUGAGGACUGGAGAGGAGACUGGAAUUCCUGGUGUAGCGGUGAAAUGCGCAGAUAUCAGGAGGAACACCGGUGGCGAAGGCGGGUCUCUGGGCCGAUACUGACGCUGAGGAGCGAAAGCGUGGGGAGCGAACAGG
rnacentral:rRNA from 1 species